ACGGGAGGCAGCGGUGAGGGAUAUUGCACAAUGGGGGGAACCCUGAUGCAACAACGCCACGUGUGGGAAGAAGCAUCUCGGUGUGUAAACCACUGUCGUGAGGGAAUAAUGCUUGAUUUCGGUCAAGUUGAAUGUACCUCGAAAGGAAGCACCGGCAAACUUCGUGCCAGCAGCCGCGGUAAUACGAGGGGUGCAAGCGUUGUUCGGAAUCACUGGGCGUAAAGGGAGCGUAGGCGGAGACGCAAGCAGUCUGUACAAUACCGGGGCCCAACCCCGGACCUGCAGACUGGACUGUGUCUCUUGGAUAGUUCAGGGGCAGGCGGAAUUCCUGGUGUAGCGGUGGAAUGCGUAGAGAUCAGGAAGAACACCGAUGGCGAAGGCAGUCUGCUGGGGACUCAUCGACGCUGAGGCUCGAAAGUGCGGGUAGCAAACAGGAUCAGAUCCCCUGGUA
rnacentral:rRNA from 1 species